rnacentral:tRNA from 1 species
GCUGAGAUAGCUCAGUUGGUAGAGCGACAGGCUUUUAACCUGUUGGUCGUGGGUUCGAGCCCCAUUCUCAGCG